GACAAACACUCUCCUUCUCAUCGUCCAGUCUUUCUGUUAGCGUUGAUCUCUGCUGCUGCUGCUGCUGGAUCUCUGUUGAUUGUUGCUGCAGUCUUUGGGAUCUUCUGCAUCAGCAAGAAAUGUAGAAAAACUGAUCAAGAAGACACAGUUCAGACUCGUGCAGAAGAGAUCACUUACGCUGAACCAGCAUUCCACAAGAGAAAAACACAGAAAUCGGAUAUUAAAGAAGAAGAACAGGUGGAGUAUGCACCGGUUGCCAUAAGAAGAUGAUCAAUCUUCAAUCUUUUUCUAGUAUCAGAUCUGUGUCAUCGCUCUCAUGUCCAUGAUGUCAUAUAAUCCUGCAGAUAAACUCUGCUAGUUUCAGUAGUUAUUUCCAGCUCUAGCAAGAGGAGUUUCUAAGAGGAACUAUUCUUGAUCUUACACCCUUUUUUAGAACAGGGCUCCAGACUAUAACAUUUCAGAGUAGUGGCACUGGUGCCAGCAACAUUUACAGAUGGAGACAGUAGCAGAAGCUUGAGCUUAAAAUGCAGAUGUAAAUUUAUUUUCAUUAACAAAAUCAUUAACCGUAAACCUCCGGGAAAAAAAAAAAAAAAAAAAAAAAAAGUGUUGUUAAUUUUGUUUUCUUUGUUUGUCCCUGAACAUUUGUUAUUCUUCCUUGUCACGGGUAUAGCAGAGAUAAGGAAAGGUGAGGAUCUUAGCAGCUUUACAAAGUUGUGUAAGGACAAUAGCUCAAUCCACCUAUUUUUUAUGGGCAUUUUGGGAUAUCACAUAAAAAAAACCCCUGGAUGUAAACACCAAGAUGCACAUAAAUUCUACAAAUGCGCAUGUGCAAUUGAGUCAGAUACAUUUUUAUCCGAUCACAAAACAUGCACAUAAACUAUGAUGCAAACACAUUUAAAAUAAAUUCCUCGAUGCACAUCAAAAAUUACUAUUGAAAAUUAAAAUCGAAAAUUACUAUACACACACACACACACUGGUAUUAUUACACCGGAGAUAUUUUAUGCCAGUUCAUCAGGAAGUGACAAUUUUGUUCUUCUAGACUCAGUAGAUGAAAACAAAUGUUUUAUUUGCAAAUAUUUUGUGUGAUGUUACAAUUUUAUGCAUGAGUUAAAUUCGCAACUUUGGAUGGAAACAUGUCAGCUAAUGACCACCAACCAAUGACUGAAACAAGGGAAUAAAUAUACAGAUUCUUGGCUAGAACCUCAUCAUUUGCCUUCUCUGGCUCCUCUAUUUCACCGCCGUCACUUUCACCCAUGGACUCCUCAGUUUUCAGUAACAAUCUGAUGAUAAUCGCUGUGUUCAUGAGUAUGUGAAUUUUUGCGUGAAGGCAUCAAGUUUUUGUACAGAUUUGAUUGAUUACUUCUGUUUACUGCUGAAAGAAUAAAAACUUGCAAACUUG